ensembl:lncRNA
AUGUGUCAGGUUUCAUUCCUUUUUGUAGCUGAGUGCUACUCCAUUGUAUGGAUGUGCCCCACUUCAUGUGUCCAUUCAUCGGUUGAUAGACCAGCCCAGUGUCAAUGGCGGAGGCAACGCCAUGGGAGUAUGAACUCCCCAGGAUGUGGGGCUCACUGGGAGCUAUCCCGGGGGAUGGCUGCCAAGUGGAUUAUGUGUUCAAAGCCAGUCUUCACUAGAAUUCAACCUUCACAAGGUCAAGCUCCCAGUCUGCAUUUUUACACCACUUCCCAGCUCAGGCCCAGACACACAGCAGAUGUGCAGAGGAGUGUGAAAGAGGCAGUCGACUCACUGGGGAGCUUCAGAGGGAGAUGGCCCAGAUUGCUGGAUCCUACGAAUCUCCUGGAAAGAAGGAACAGCAGAAAGAACUGGACUACCCCUGUUUAUUCCUGUGAACCAAACAGUGACUUCUGGCUGCAGCUCAAAAGAAACAAGAGGAAUGUGCUGUCAAAUUCCAGAUGAUCCUCAGCAAGGGAUACCAUCCUCUCAAUAUUCAAAAGUUACCCUUCUACAGGGGACUGUUAGAUUGCCCAUCAGUGGGACAUGACAGGUGAAAUAGUGCUCAUGUCUCCCUCGGACCUGACCAGAUACUGCUUUCAACAACCCAUGGAGCCACUUUGCCCUGACAGCUAGCAAGAGGCCAAGACCCACAAAACAACCACCACCAUGCCUCUGUCAACAGGAAGCAGUUAUAGAAUACCGAACUUCAUCCAUUGUCUCAAAGAAUUGGACACUUACUCUCUUGAGAAGGGAGAUGUUACAGUAGGUAGCCAGUUAGACACAAGCAGGGCAGGAGAGAAGCCCCUGGCAACCCAGUACCAGCAAUGUCAGGUAAUCACCACGUGAUGGUCAGGCGGUUGUUACACUGUCUCUCUAACACAAUAGUUGGUCACAGCCAGCACCAGGAAAAAGCAGUCUUCCAACAGAUAGAAAGACCUGAAGGUAGUGAUCAGCAGCUUCCCAUUAAGGUCUUGGGAAUUGGGAGAGUGGGCUAAAGCAUGCACACUAAGAGGCAAAAUGGUGGAGUUUAACUGGUAUAUGACCUUUCUUUGAGAACAUUUGACUGGUAAGGGAGGAAUGCCUCAAGUGAGCAUGUGUACAAUUACAGUAAACACACUGUGCAUGCAGCCCCUCUCAAAUGCUGAGAGGCCACUGCACAUGUGAACAGCCCAUUCUGAGGGAAGAAUCAGAGGAGAAGGGAUACAACCAUUCAGACACAUGCCCCCAAAGUCAAAGGUUGAAGCAUUCACUUGACUCUCUCAAGUUGCCUGCUUUGCCCUCUUCCAAGUGUAUUUUACUUCCUUUCAUUUCUGCCCUAAUAUCUUAAAAUAAACUUUCAUUCUUGCUCUAAAACUUGCCUCAGUCUCUCUCUCUCUCUCUCUCUCUCUCUCUCUCUCUCUCUCUGCCUUAUGUUGCUUGGUUGAAUUCUUUUUUUUUUUUUUUUUUUUUUUUUAAGGAGGCAAGAAUUGAGGUUGCUGCAGAUCUGUAUGGACAUGUCACUACUAACACUAAGUGAAGGAGUCAUAGUACAAACUGAGGCAUCUGGCCCCAGAGUCAGCACACACUUUGCCAUUGUGCUAAUUUCUUUCAUUUCUCUUGUUUAACCAGUCUAAA